rnacentral:rRNA from 1 species
GACGAACGCUGGCGGCGUGCUUAACACAUGCAAGUCGAACGGAAAGGCCCUGCUUUUGUGGGGUGCUCGAGUGGCGAACGGGUGAGUAACACGUGAGUAACCUGCCCUUGACUUUGGGAUAACUUCAGGAAACUUGGGCUAAUACCGGAUAGGAGCUCCUGCUGCAUGGUGGGGGUUGGAAAGUUUCGGCGGUUGGGGAUGGACUCGCGGCUUAUCAGCUUGUUGGUGGGGUAGUGGCUUACCAAGGCUUUGACGGGUAGCCGGCCUGAGAGGGUGACCGGACACAUUGGGACUGAGAUACGGCCCAGACUCCUACGGGAGGCAGCAGUGGGGAAUAGUGCACAAUGGGCGGAAGCCUGAUGCAGCAACGCCGCGUGCGGGAUGACGGCCUUCGGGUUGUAAACCGCUUUCGCCUGUGACGAAGCGUGAGUGACGGUAAUGGGUAAAGAAGCACCGGCUAACUACGUG